rnacentral:lncRNA from 1 species
GUUGUGAAUCCGGUUCUACAAGCGAACCUUCACACCAAUGAAAUAAACCAAUGAUGUGUGGAGCAAGUGAUAGUGAUAAUCAAUGAGAACAAAUGGCUUCCAAGCAAACAACAACAAACAGCCCUAAGCUAGUGUAUAGCAAAACCACACAAAGAGCUAACAAGCAUAAACAAGAUAAACGGUAAAAGGAAAGAACAAAACACCGAGCAAGAUUGUUGACCCAGUUCAGCCAAUAUGGCCUAAUCUGGGGGAGAGAGCAGCUCUCCAAUCCAAUAUGUGAAGUGUUACAAAAGGUUACAAGACUCUAGCUUAUCAAGCUUUACACAUGAACAAACCCUAGAACUACCCUUUGGUAUUUUCCCA